rnacentral:rRNA from 1 species
UACGGAGGGGGCUAGCGUUGUUCGGAAUUACUGGGCGUAAAGCGCACGUAGGCGGCUUUGUAAGUUAGAGGUGAAAGCCCAGGGCUUAACCCUGGAAUUGCCUUUAAGACUGCAUCGCUAGAAUCGUGGAGAGGUAAGUGGAAUUCCGAGUGUAGAGGUGAAAUUCGUAGAUAUUCGGAAGAACAUCAGUGGCGAAGGCGACUUACUGGACACGUAUUGACGCUGAGGUGCGAAAGCGUGGGGAGCAAACAGG